rnacentral:tRNA from 1 species
UCAAAUUAUAGCUUAUUGAGCAUCUUAUUUACAUUAAGAGGGUAUUUUAGAAAUUGAUUUG